GCAUCUCUUUGAUAUUAAAGCUCCGGCGGUUAAAGAUGGGCGUGCGUCUGAUUAGGUAGUUGGCGGGGUAACGGCCCACCAAGCCUUCGAUCAGUAGCUGAUGUGAGAGCAUGAUCAGCCACACGGGCACUGAGACACGGGCCCGACUCCUACGGGAGGCAGCAGUAAGGAAUAUUGGUCAAUGGACGCAAGUCUGAACCAGCCAUGCCGCGUGGAGGAUGAAGGCCCUCUGGGUUGUAAACUUCUUUUCUUUGGGACGAAACCCCUGUUUCUACGGGGACUGACGGUACCAGAGGAAUAAGCACCGGCUAACUCCGUGCCAGCAGCCGCGGUAAUACGGAGGGUGCAAGCGUUAUCCGGAUUCACUGGGUUUAAAGGGAGCGUAGGUGGGCUUUUAAGUCAGUGGUGAAAUCUUUGGGCUUAACCCGAAAACUGCCAUUGAUACUAUUAGUCUUGAAUUCUCUGGAGGUAAGCGGAAUAUGUCAUGUAGCGGUGAAAUGCUUAGAUAUGACAUAGAACACCCAUUGCGAAGGCAGCUUACUACGGAGACAUUGACACUGAGGCUCGAAAGCGUGGGGAUCAAACAGGAUUAGAUACCCUGGUAGUCCACGCCCUAAACGAUGAUUACUCGACAUUAGCGAUAUUACUGUUAGUGUCUAAGCGAAAGCAUUAAGUAAUCCACCUGGGAAGUACGUCCGCAAGG
rnacentral:rRNA from 1 species